UCCCGGGUAGCUCAGCCGGUCAGAGCGCCUGACUGUUAAUCAGGAUGUCGUGGGUUCGAGUCCCACCCCGGGAG
rnacentral:tRNA from 1 species